rnacentral:tmRNA from 1 species
GGGGGCGUUUAUGGAUUCGACGGGGACAGUUCGAGCAUGGGUAGCGGGUAGUAGGGCUGCGUCUGCUUCAUCAACGCGGAAAGCCUAUAAACGGCAACAAGCAACCUUCUCUGGCUCUGGCCGCCUAAUAACGGUCACCAGGCUCUUACUCUCCAUCGCCCAUGUGGCGGGAUAAGGGCUCAACUUUAGUGGGAUACGCUGUCUAGUCUCCGCCUGGGGCUAGCUGAAGAAGAUAAUCAGGCUGACCCAACGCGAAGCCGGUUCCGGGGCGUUGCUCGGGUGACAUCAAAACUGGGACUACACCCGUAGAAGCCUAUGUGGCGUUGUCUUCGGACAGGGGUUCGACUCCCCUCGCCUCCACCA